UACGGAGGGGGCAAGCGUUAUCCGGAAUCACUGGGUUUAAAGGGUGCGUAGGCGGCUUGAUAAGUCAGGGGUGAAAGCCCGCAGCUUAACUGCGGAACUGCCUUUGAUACUGUCGAGCUUGAAAGAGGUUGAGGUCAGCGGAACGUGACAUGUAGCGGUGAAAUGCAUAGAUAUGUCACAGAACACCGAUUGCGAGGGCAGCUGGCUGGACCUACUUUGACGCUGAGGCACGAAAGCGUGCGGAGCGAACAGG
rnacentral:rRNA from 1 species